rnacentral:rRNA from 1 species
AUUGAACGCUGGCGGCAUGCCUUACACAUGCAAGUCGAACGGCAGCACGGGAGCAAUCCUGGUGGCGAGUGGCGAACGGGUGAGUAAUAUAUCGGAACGUGCCCAGUCGUGGGGGAUAACGUAGCGAAAGCUACGCUAAUACCGCAUACGCUCUAUGGGUGAAAGCGGGGGAUCGCAAGACCUCGCGCGAUUGGAGCGGCCGAUAUCAGAUUAGGUAGUUGGUGAGGUAAAGGCUCACCAAGCCGACGAUCUGUAGCUGGUCUGAGAGGACGAACAGCCACACUGGGCCGGAGACACGGCCCAGACUCCUACGGGAGGCAGCAGUGGGGAAUUUUGGACAAUGGGCGCAAGCCUGAUCCAGCAAUGCCGCGUGCAGGAUGAAGGCCUUCGGGUUGUAAACUGCUUCUGUACGGAACGAAACGGCGAGCUCUAAUACAGUUUGCUAAUGACGGUACCGUAAGAAUAAGCACCGGCUAACUACGUGCCAGCCGCCGCCGUAA